GUUUCUCUCUCUCUAUUCAUUUCUUUCUCGUUUCUUCCCACUCUUUUUUUUCUUCUUUCUCCCCAAUUUCCAAAUCUCAAUCCUAAAAGGGUUUUCCCCAAACCAACAAUUGCAAGCCCCAAAUCCAUCUACCAGCGGCAACGAGGAAGCCGAUUGCUGUUUUGUCGGCCAAGCAAGAAGCUGGAACAGAAAUGAAAAUGGAUAUGAACUGAUUUGGUAUGUGAAGGGGAGACUGUUGGGGUGUACGGUGGAGGAGUGAGUUCUGAGUUCUGUGCAACAAUGGAGGUUCCCAUCAUUCCUUCAAUGCUUUUCUUCCCCGUUUGUGUUCUCUCCAUUGCAGAUGGUGGCUCUGUCCGCGUGAACUAUGGUCUCUCCAUUGCAGGCGAAAAUUGAGUUCCUGUUGUCAUAGUGUAAUCAACCUUGGAACUGCCUGUUUCUAAAUGCUUUAGAUGCUAUGGUGGAUUAUGAGGACAAUGUGGAAUGUGGUGAAGAAGGGAUUGGUCUAAACAUGGUUGAUGUUGUAGAUGCUGGAGAAAAUAGGGAUGGUCAGGUAAGCAGUUCUCACAAGGGAGACAUUUUGGGGAUUGAAGGCGACAACUUUGAGCCACAUGAUGGGAUCGAAUUUGAAUCCCAUGAAGCGGCCUAUUCUUUUUAUCAGGAGUAUGCAAAGUCUAUGGGAUUCACCACCUCAAUUAAAAACAGCCGUCGUUCAAAGAAAACAAAAGAAUUUAUAGAUGCUAAGUUUGCAUGUUCGAGAUAUGGGGUCACACCAGAAUCUGAGAGUGGCAGUAGUAGAAGGCCAAGUGUAAAAAAGACGGAUUGUAAGGCCAGUAUGCAUGUAAAGAGAAAACGAGAUGGGAAAUGGUAUAUUCACGAAUUUAUAAAGGAGCACAAUCAUGAGCUUUUACCUGCAUUAGCUUAUCAUUUUCGUAUACAUAGGAAUGUAAAAUUAGCUGAAAAGAAUAAUAUAGAUAUUCUGCAUGCGGUUAGUGAGCGUACAAGGAAGAUGUAUGUUGAGAUGUCUAGACAAUCUGGUGGGAGUUUUAAUUCUUGCCUCAGUAAGAAUGAGUUCGAUCACCAGUUUGACAGAGGUCGGUACUUGGCAUUAGAAGAGGGGGAUGCUCAAGUCAUGCUUGAGUAUUUUGUACAAAUCCAAAAAGAGAAUCCUGGUUUCUUUUAUGCGAUUGACUUGAAUGAAGAUCAGCGUCUGAGGAACUUGUUUUGGGUUGAUGCCAAAACCAGGAAAGACUAUAUCAGCUUCAGUGAUGCUGUUUUCUUUGACACUAGUUACAUUAAAAUCAAUGAGAAGAUGCCUAUUGCUCUGUUCCUGGGGGUAAACCAUCAUUUUCAGCCUAUGUUGCUUGGAUGUGCUCUAUUAGCUGAUGAAACUAAGCCAACAUUUGUUUGGUUAAUGAAGACAUGGCUCAGAGCAAUGGGUGGGCAAGCUCCAACAGUUAUCAUUACUGAUCCAGAUAAACAAUUGAAAUCAGCUAUUGAAGAAGUUUUCCCAUAUUCACGUCAUUGCUUUGCUCUUUGGCAUAUAUUGGAAAGAAUACAUGAAACUCUUGCUCAUGUACUCAAACAACAUGAAAAUUUUAUGAAAAAAUUCAACAAGUGCAUAUUCAAGUCAUUGACAGAUGAAGAGUUUGACAUGAGGUGGUGGAAGAUGGUCGGCAGAUUUGAACUACAAGAAAAUGAAUGGGUUCAUUCAAUGUAUGUGGACCGUAAAAAAUGGGUUCCCACUUUCAUGAGAGACAUAUUUUUGGCUGGGUUGUCUACAUAUCAGCGUUCUGAAAGUGUGAACUCUUUCUUUGACAAAUACAUUCACAAAAAGAUCAAUCUGAAAGAGUUUGUGAGACAAUAUGGGGCAAUACUUCAAAAUAGGUAUGAAGAGGAAGACAUGGCAGACUUUGAUACUUUGCACAAACAACCAGCGCUCAGGUCACCUUCUCCUUGGGAAAAACAAAUGUCGACAAUUUUGACGCAUGCAAUAUUUAGAAAAUUCCAAGUUGAGGUUUUGGGUGUGGUAGGAUGCCAUCCCAAGAAAGAGAAGGAGAUGGGAGCCAAUGUUAUUUUUAGAGUUGACGAUUGUGAAAAAACUGAGAAUUUUGUGGUUACAUGGAAUGAGGCAAAGUCAGAAGUUUCUUGUUCAUGUCUAAUGUUUGAAUAUAAAGGUUUUCUCUGCAGACAUUCAAUGAUUGUCCUCCAAAUAUGUGGUCUUCCUAGUAUCCCAUCUCGAUAUAUCCUUAAGAGGUGGACAAAAGAUGCCAAGAGCAGACAGGCUGUGGUAGAUGGAAAUGAAAGAAUCCAAACUAGGGUGCAAAGAUACAAUGAUCUUUGUAAGCGGGCUAUUGAACUAGGAGAAGAAGGUUCUUUGUCUGAGGAGAAUUACAACAUUGCUUGUCGUGCUUUAGUCGAAGCUCUGAAGAACUGUGUGAAUGUUAAUAACAGAACUGCUGCAGAAUGUAGUAAUAACUCUGUGGGACUUCGUUGUGCUGAGGAAGAGAACCAGUUGCUCCAUGUGACCAAAACAAACAAGAAGAAGAAUACAAACAAGAAGAGAAAGUUACAACCAGAGCCAGAAGCAGUUGUUAUUGAGGCUUCUGACAGUUUGCAACAAAUGGAAAACCUAAGCUCGGAAGGAAUUACCCUGAAUGGAUACUAUGGAUCCCAACAGCACGUCCAUGGACUGUUAAAUUUGAUGGAGCCGCCACAUGAUGCUUACUAUGUCAGUCAACAGACGAUGCAGGGGCUGGGACAGUUGAACUCGAUUGCGUCUAGCCAUGAUGGUUUUUAUGGGGCUCAACAGAGCAUGCCCGGACUGGGGCAUCUCGACUUCAGACAACCAGCUUUCACUUAUGGCAUGGCGGAUGAGCAUAAUGUGAGACCGGCCCAGUUGCACGGCACUGCUAGACAUGCUUGAGGAGUUCAAGAUGACGGUCGCAGAUGUAGAUAAAUUAGAACCUCAGAAGUCUUUUAAGAACUCUGCAGCUUCUGAAUUUCUGCAGAGAAGAUCCACUAACUUUUUGAUGUAAAGUCACAUUAAAAUUUAUCAUUUAUGAAGAAAUCUCUGAUUUCUUUCUACCAAAUGAGCAUGGGGCCUCUGUACUAUGCAAACAUGCCCUUGAAAUUCUAAUUAGGCUGAAGGAAUGGGAAGAAAUGAAGAAUGAAGUGUGUCUCUUGGAUUCGGAAAUUCUAGCCUGAAUUGGGUUUUAGCUGCAUCUAAUCCAACGGUACAGAUUGAAACUACUUUAUGGAUAAUUACGUCGCCUUCCUUUGAGAUAUGGCCGUUAAAAGAACCCUAACGUGCUUGAUAAAAUCACUCUUUUACCCUUCAUUGUAAAUCACACAAACCUCCUUGAGGUUUAUUCAAAUUACGUGGACAUCCCCUAUGUUUUGUCA